UACGUAGGGGGCAAGCGUUGUCCGGAAUCAUUGGGCGUAAAGCGCGUGUAGGCGGUUCUGUAAGUCUGCUGUGAAAGUCCAGGGCUCAACCCUGGGAUGCCGGUGGAUACUGUCGAACUAGAGUACGGAAGAGGCGAGUGGAAUUCCGCGUGUAGCAGUGAAAUGCGUAGAUAUGCGGAGGAACACCAAUGGCGAAGGCAACCCCCUGGGCCGGCACUGACGCUCAGGCACGAAAGCGUGGGGAGCAAACAGG
rnacentral:rRNA from 1 species